rnacentral:rRNA from 1 species
AAUGAAUUUGGCGGCAAGAUAGCUACUUAGAGGAACCUGCCCUGUAAACGAUGAACCACGUGUCACUUUACUCUUAUUUGUAAUCAGUUUGUAUACCGUUGUUGUCAGAAGGUUUCUUUUGAAGGCUUUCAAUAAUGGUGUUUCCAUUGACUUCAAAUAAAGGUGCAGCUUAUAUAAGAGAAGAGGUGGGUUACAAUUUAACGUAUGAAUCGCGGAUAAUUAUUGGAAGAAAGAGGGAUAAUUUGAAGAUGGAUUUAAUGGUAAGAUCUUGUAAGGAUUUGAUUUUAGCACUGUUUUGUGUACAUACCGCCCGUC